rnacentral:misc_RNA from 1 species
UUUCCGUAGGUGAACCUGCGGAAGGAUCAUUAAUAAAUGGCUCGGUUAAGAGCACUUAAUAAUCCUACCUUUGUGAAUUUGUUGUUUGAAAUAAUUUUUUUUAAAAUUAUUGAUGUCUUUCCCUGUUGAAUUGGUGUUUUGGACACAGAUUCGCAGGGAUAGUCAUAAUUUUUAAAAAGACCUUUUUUAAAUUAAACUUUUUGUAUUCAUUUGUCUAAAAUUAUUUUAUAAUAUAAAAACAACUUUUGACAAUGGAUCUCUUGGUUCUCGCAACGAUGAAGAACGCAGCAAAAUGCGAUAAGUAGUGUGAAUUGCAGAAUACGUGAAUCAUCGAAUCUUCGAACGCAUAUUGCACUUUUUUAGUUUACUAAAAAAGUAUGUCUGUUUGAGUAUCAGUAAAUAUUCUCAUAAAAACAUUGUUUUUAUGGUUAUGAGUGUUUUACAACGAUACAAGUUGUUUCACUUUAAAUUUUUUAAAAUUUGAAUUUUUUCUAAUUUUAAAAUAAAAUUGGAUAAAAUUUUCCCGUAAAAAGGAAUAACCUAAACAAUUUUAAUUUAAAUUAGAAACCUUCAAAAAAAAAGGAAAUUUAAUAAAUAACUUGGUCUCAAAUCAGAUAAGAGUACCCGCUGAACUUAAGCAUAUCAAUAAGCGGAGGAAAAGAAACUAACAAGGAUUCCCUUAGUAACGGCGAGUGAAGCGGGAAGAGCUCAAAUUUGAAAUCUUCAAGGUUUUACCUUGACGAAUUGUAGUUUAAAGAAGAGUUUUCUGUUGAAGUUUUGGUAAAAGUUCUUUGGAAUAGGACAUCAUAGAGGUGAGAAUCCCGUAUUUGACCAUUAUUUUCAGCUGUGUGAUACACUUUCAAAGAGUCGGAUUGUUUGGGAAUGCAGUCCAAAAUGGGUGGUAAAUUUCAUCUAAAGCUAAACAUUGGCGAGAGACCGAUAGCGAACAAGUACCGUGAGGGAAAGAUGAAAAGAACUUUGAAAAGAGAGUUAAACAGUACGUGAAAUUGUCAAAAGGGAAGCGUUUGACACCAGUGUUGUUUUCUCGAAAAUCAAUUAAAAAGAGUUGGAUUUUGUGUUGUAUUGACCUUAACAGCUUUCUUCACUCUUUUCCUGCUUUUUUUAAUGCACUUUUCGUUUAACAAGUCAACAUCAGUUUCUUUUGUUGUAAAAGGGUCAUUGGAAGGUGGCUUUCUUUUCGGAGAAAGUGUUUAUAGCCUUUGAUCUCUGCAAUCGGAGAGACUGAGGUCUGCAGCGUAGAUCCUUCGGGUUAGAUACAUUUGUGCUAAGUUAUAACUUUUUAUAGACAACUUGUUGACUAUGUUUAGUCAUGUAGCUUACUCGCUUAUGCUAUUU